CCGCAAGAGAGAGAGACGUCAAGUACAAAGAAAAAUAAAAAACUUGCAGUCACCAACCAAAAUCCCAAAACAGCAAAUCACAGCACAGUGACACUAACAAAAAUCAAAACAAAUUUGGCGGAUGCAAAAUUUUCUUCCAUUCUCCAAUCCAACCACAACAACGAAACCACUCCAAAAUCUAAAACUGUGAAUAUAAACAAACAAUCCAAGCGAGAGAAAACAUGCUACUCCAUCCCGUGCUUCCUCUCUCUCCCUAUCCAUCUUUCGUUUCAAACCGUUCGCUCCGAUUUCGCCCUCGUUGGAGCAACUUCGUUCCUCGUCGCGCCGUCCAGUGCACUGCCGCGGUCUCCGGCGGCGACGAGUUCACUGCGAAGACAGGGUUAGAGCUGCUGUGCUAAGGAAAAUGUUGUCAGAGUUUGGGCCGGCAUAUAUUGAAAUUGCCCAGGCUAUAUCAUCUCGUGCUGUAAGUUUAAUUUUUAUCUGUCACAUUAAGACUUAUGCCCAUGUUCUUCUGUUUUUUCUCAUCUUUGUGAUCCUUCUUAUAAAGUUUUCCUGUUAUUAUAUGUCAAUUGCUAAAAGAUGACUAUAGGUGAAGGAAUUCAAUGAAAACUGUGAUUUACUUGUUGGCGAUAAAGCUGUACUCUUCCAUCCUAAUUAUGCUUUUUAAAACUGUUAAAACUGUUAAAACUGUAUACAGCAUAACCAGGAGUCAAGAUUCCUAUUAAAUUUUAUAAUUGAUGAAGACUGCAUGCAAUGUAACAUCAAUAAGGAGGCUUUUUUUCUUUCAUUGAGUAUAUUUUCAGUUCCUUUAGGACACACAUCAGGGGAAUGUGAAAAUAAAAAAGAACCAAGGGACAGUUAGUUAGACAUUUACAAUCCUGUCUUCUAAAGUUUUGCACUUCAAACCUUGCCUAUUUUGAAUUAAAUGUCCUAAACAUAAAUACCUGAAAAUAUUACAUAUGAUGAUCUGAUUUUGUGUUAUAUGUGGUUGAUUUACAGAUUUGUGAUUUCAACAGGUGUGAUUGGUACGUAUGCCUUAGAACUUCAAUACCAGUUGAUAGGGAGUUAUUUAUUUUUCUAUGAACUCAGUUUUGGGGGGAGUGAGGCAUUGUACAUGUUGCCUACAUGGUACCCUUCAAUCUUGUAUCUAUCUGUUUGGGUAUGUUAUAUUUUGAAGUUCUAUAUUGCAUUGGUUUAUUAAUUAUAGAUUCCUAUAUAUGCAGGCUGUUGUUGAUGAGUUGGCAUUAAGUCACUUCCAGUAUGCAUUGUUUUCUUGUAUUUGCACCAUAAUGAUGUUCUAGGUAGAGUA